ACUCCUACGGGAGGCAGCAGUGGGGAAUCUUGGACAAUGGGGGCAACCCUGAUCCAGCCAUGCCGCGUGAGUGAUGAAGGCCUUAGGGUCGUAAAGCUCUUUCGCCUGUGAUGAUAAUGACAGUAGCAGGUAAAGAAACCCCGGCUAACUCCGUGCCAGCAGCCGCGGUAAUACGGAGGGGUUAGCGUUGUUCGGAAUUACUGGGCGUAAAGCGCGCGUAGGCGGAUUAGUCAGUUAGAGGUGAAAUCCCAGGGCUCAACCCUGGAACUGCCUUUAAUACUGCUAGUCUUGAGUUCGAGAGAGGUGAGUGGAAUUCCGAGUGUAGAGUGAAAUUCGUAGAUAUUCGGAGGAACACCAGUGGCGAAGGCGGCUCACUGGCUCGAUACUGACGCUGAGGUGCGAAAGUGUGGGGAGCAAACAGGAUUAGAUACCCUGGUAGCGACUGA
rnacentral:rRNA from 1 species